rnacentral:rRNA from 1 species
CUAACUGGAGGACCGAACCGACUAAUGUUGAAAAAUUAGCGGAUGACUUGUGGCUGGGGGUGAAAGGCCAAUCAAACCGGGAGAUAGCUGGUUCUCCCCGAAAGCUAUUUAGGUAGCGCCUCGUGAACUCAUCUUCGGGGGUAGAGCACUGUUUCGGCUAGGGGGUCAUCCCGACUUACCAACCCGAUGCAAACUACGAAUACCGAAGAAUGUUAUCACGGGAGACACACGGCGGGUGCUAACGUCCGUCGUGAAGAGGGAAACAACCCAGACCGCCAGCUAAGGUCCCAAAGUCAUGGUUAAGUGGGAAACGAUGUGGGAAGGCACAGACAGCCAGGAUGUUGGCUUAGAAGCAGCCAUCAUUUAAAGAAAGCGUAAUAGCUCACUGGUCGAGUCGGCCUGCGCGGAAGAUGUAACGGGGCUAAACCAUGCACCGAAGCUGCGGCAGCGACACUAUGUGUUGUUGGGUAGGGGAGCGUUCUGUAAGCCUGCGAAGGUGACCUGUGAGGGUUGCUGGAGGUAUCAGAAGUGCGAAUGCUGACAUAAGUAACGAUAAAGCGGGUGAAAAGCCCGCUCGCCGGAAGACCAAGGGUUCCUGUCCAACGUUAAUCGGGGCAGGGUGAGUCGACCCCUAAGGCGAGGCCGAAAGGCGUAGUCGAUGGGAAACAGGUUAAUAUUCCUGUACUUGGUGUUACUGCGAAGGGGGGACGGAGAAGGCUAUGUUAGCCGGGCGACGGUUGUCCCGGUUUAAGCAUGUAGGCUGAUUAUCCAGGCAAAUCCGGAUAAUCAAGGCUGAGGUGUGAUGACGAGGCACUACGGUGCUGAAGUAACAAAUGCCCUGCUUCCAGGAAAAGCCUCUAAGCAUCAGGUAACAUCAAAUCGUACCCCAAACCGACACAGGUGGUCAGGUAGAGAAUACCAAGGCGCUUGAGAGAACUCGGGUGAAGGAACUAGGCAAAAUGGUGCCGUAACUUCGGGAGAAGGCACGCUGGUGUGUAGGUGA